AGAAUCAACGCUGGCGGCGUGCCUAACACAUGCAAGUCGAACGAGAAAGUGGAGCAAUCCAUGAGUACAGUGGCGUACGGGUGAGUAACACGUGACUAACCUACCCUCGAGUGGGGAAUAACCUCGGGAAACCGGGGCUAAUACCGCAUAACAUCUUCGGAUCAAAUGCGUAAGCAGCUUGAGGAGGGGGUCGCGGCCGAUUAGCUAGUUGGCGGGGUAAUGGCCCACCAAGGCAAUGAUCGGUAGCCGGCCUGAGAGGGCGCACGGCCACACUGGAACUGAAACACGGUCCAGACUCCUACGGGAGGCAGCAGUGGGGAAUUUGCGCAAUGGGGGGAAACCCUGACGCAGCAACGCCGCGUGGAGGAUGAAGCCCCUUGGGGUGUAAACUCCUUUCGAUCGGGACGAUAAUGACGGUACCGGAAGAAGAAGCACCGGCUAACUCUGCGCCAGCAGCCGC
rnacentral:rRNA from 1 species